UACGAAGGGGGCUAGCGUCGCUCGGAAUCACUGGGCGUAAAGCGCACGUAGGCGGCUUUUUAAGUCAGAGGUGAAAUCCUGGAGCUCAACUCCAGAACUGCCUUUGAUACUGAGAGGCUUGAGUCCGGGAGAGGGAUGCGGAAUUCCAGGUGUAGCGGUGAAAUGCGUAGAUAUCUGGAGGAACACCGGUGGCGAAGGCGGCAUCCUGGACCAAUUCUGACGCUGAGGAGCGAAAGCCAGGGGAGCAAACGGG
rnacentral:rRNA from 1 species